UUAUUUGAGAGUUUGAUCCUGGCUCAGGAUGAACGCUGGCGGCGUGCCUAACACAUGCAAGUUGAGCGAUUUACUUCGGUAAAGAGCGGCGGACGGGUGAGUAACGCGUGGGUAACCUACCCUGUACACACGGAUAACAUACCGAAAGGUAUGCUAAUACGGGAUAAUAUAUUUGAGAGGCAUCUCUUGAAUAUCAAAGGUGAGCCAGUACAGGAUGGACCCGCGUCUGAUUAGCUAGUUGGUAAGGUAAUGGCUUACCAAGGCGACGAUCAGUAGCCGACCUGAGAGGGUGAUCGGCCACAUUGGAACUGAGACACGGUCCAAACUCCUACGGGAGGCAGCAGUGGGGAAUAUUGCACAAUGGGCGAAAGCCUGAUG
rnacentral:rRNA from 1 species